CUACGUGCCAGCAGCCGCGGUAAUACGUAGGGGGCAAGCAUUAUCCGGAUUCAUUGGGCGUAAAGCGCUCGUAGGCGGUCUGUUAGGUCGGGAGUUAAAUCCGGGGGCUCAACCCCCGCUCGCUCCCGAUACCGGCAGACUUGAGUUUGGUAGGGGAAGGUGGAAUUCCUAGUGUAGCGGUGGAAUGCGCAGAUAUUAGGAAGAACACCAGUGGCGAAGGCGGCCUUCUGGGCCAUAACUGACGCUGAGGAGCGAAAGCUAGGGGAGCAAACAGGAUUAGAUACCCUGGUAGUCCUAGCCGUAAACGAUGGACACUAGGUGUGGGGGAAUAUUUCUUCCGUGCCGCAGCUAACGCAUUAAGUGUCCCGCCUGGGGAGUACGGCCGCAAGGCUAAAACUCAAAGGAAUUGACGGGGGCCCGCACAAGCAGCGGAGCAUGUGGUUUAAUUCGAAGCAACGCGAAGAACCUUACCAGGGCU
rnacentral:rRNA from 1 species